CGAAAGCCUGACCCAGCAACGCCGCGUGAAGGAUGAAAUCCCUCGGGAUGUAAACUUCGCAAGAACGGGAAGAAUAAGUAGGAGACAAUACCCCCUAUGAUGACGGUACCGUUUGUAAGCUCCGGCUAACUCCGUGCCAGCAGCCGCGGUAAUACGGGGGGAGCAAGCGUUGUUCGGAUUUACUGGGCGUAAAGGGCGCGUAGGCGGCCUCCGCAAGUCAAUUGUGAAAUCUCCGGGCUUAACUCGGAAAGGUCAACUGAUACUGCGGGGCUAGAGUGCGGAAGGGGCAACUGGAAUUCUUGGUGUAGCGGUGAAAUGCGUAGAUAUCAAGAGGAACACCUGCGGCGAAGGCGGGUUGCUGGGCCGACACUGACGCUGAGGCGCGAAAGCUAGGGGAGCGAACGGGAUUAGAUACCCCGGUAGUCCUAGCCUUAAACGAUGAAUGCUUGGUGUCUGGGGUUAUAUAGUCCCCGGGUGCCGUCGCUAACGCUUUAAGCAUUCCGCCUGGGGAGUACGGUCGCAAGACUG
rnacentral:rRNA from 1 species